GGCAGGCCUAACACAUGCAAGUCGAGCGGAUGAAAGGAGCUUGCUCCUGGAUUCAGCGGCGGACGGGUGAGUAAUGCCUAGGAAUCUGCCUGGUAGUGGGGGACAACGUUUCGAAAGGAACGCUAAUACCGCAUACGUCCUACGGGAGAAAGCAGGGGACCUUCGGGCCUUGCGCUAUCAGAUGAGCCUAGGUCGGAUUAGCUAGUUGGUGAGGUAAUGGCUCACCAAGGCGACGAUCCGUAACUGGUCUGAGAGGAUGAUCAGUCACACUGGAACUGAGACACGGUCCAGACUCCUACGGGAGGCAGCAGUGGGGAAUAUUGGACAAUGGGCGAAAGCCUGAUCCAGCCAUGCCGCGUGUGUGAAGAAGGUCUUCGGAUUGUAAAGCACUUUAAGUUGGGAGGAAGGGUUGUAGAUUAAUACUCUGCAAUUUUGACGUUACCGACAGAAUAAGCACCGGCU
rnacentral:rRNA from 1 species